GGCCAUUUAAAAAACAAUGAGGAUUUUCACUUUCUGUGGUAUAUUUUUUAUAUUAGUUAAGUUUAGAAUUAUAACACAGGUGUUAUAAAAUGCAGGAUAGUCAGGGCUAGCUUGCUGCCAAGUUUCAUGAAGAUAUCUCAAACCACUUCAGAGAAAUGUUUUAAAAACAGGCCAUUUUUGUCAGGAGUGUGACGCUUUUAGCGUGACAUUUAAAAAAUUAGAAAUUUUCAAAGUAGUAUUGAAAAAAGUGGAUCGUUUUUAUGCUAAACGGAAUUAUUUCUGGUAGUUGCUACAUUAUUAG
rnacentral:lncRNA from 1 species